rnacentral:rRNA from 1 species
UACGGGGGAGCAAGGCGUUGUUCGGAUUUACUGGGCGUAAAGGGCGCGUAGGCGGCCACCGCAAGUCGACUGUGAAAUCUCCGGGCUUAACCCGGAAGGUCAGCCGAUACUGCGGGGCUAGAGUGCAGAAGGGGCAACUGGAAUUCUCGGUGUAGCGGUGAAAUGCGUAGAUAUCGAGAGGAACACCUGCGGCGAAGGCGGGUUGCUGGGCUGACACUGACGCUGAGGCGCGAAAGCUAGGGGAGCGAACGGG